rnacentral:tRNA from 1 species
GGAAGGGUUCACUAAUUUGGUAAGUGAGCGGACUGCUAAUCCAUCGGGUUGGUAAAACAGCCUUCAGGGUUCAAGUCCCUGUCCUUCCG